CUUGCUCUCCAGAUGACAGGAGCUCUGCAGCCAGCCUCGGCUGUGACGGCAUCCCAGGCUCUCCUCUGGCUCCCACCUUCCCAUCUUGUGAGGUUGUCAGAAGUGGACACUAAGGAUUCGUGCCACUAGGCAGAGCGUCCAUUUUCUUAUUCCUCAGUGGCUUCUGAUGGUUCCUUCAGCCAAAAUGGAAUAAAACACAGUGCAUGGGAGGAACAUUGUAGUCAAGACACAAUCUCGUAGGAAAGCAGCUGAGGAUGGCCCACAAGUUUGCAACAAUGCGACCAUGUGGGGUAUCUGGAAGAAGCUCCUGACCCCUAGGCUCAGCUCAG